UACAGAGGUGGCAAGCGUUGUUCGGAAUUACUGGGCGUAAAGGGCGCGUAGGCGGCCUUCUAAGUCAGACGUGAAAUCCCCCGGCUUAACCUGGGAACUGCGUCUGAUACUGGAGGGCUUGAGUAUGGGAGAGGGAUGUAGAAUUCCAGGUGUAGCGGUGAAAUGCGUAGAUAUCUGGAGGAAUACCGGUGGCGAAGGCGGCAUCCUGGACCAUUACUGACGCUGAGGCGCGAAAGCCAGGGGAGCAAACGGG
rnacentral:rRNA from 1 species